GCCCUGCGCCGCGGGGUCCCGCAGAGCCAGCCGGCCUGGGCCUUUUCGGGGCUUUUCAGGGAUUUUCCCCGAUUCCCGGAGCAGCAGAGGCGGAGUUGCUCCAGUAAUGACUCAGGAGGAGAUUGCAGAGAAUUGAAUCACUACCUAAAUUGUCAAAUGCAUGAGAAAUUCAGCUGCAGAAAAAAGGUGGACACCGUGUCUCCUCCAGCUUAAUGCUGCAGUGAUGUCCCGAAGUUUCCAGCUUGCUGAGACCUUCAUGGCCCCUUCUGCUGACUCAGGUGCUUCUGGAACAGCACCAUGGCACCCAGGGAAGGCAGAUUCUUGAGAUGCAGGAGCUUUGAUGUCACAUUCUCUUUUUUUUAAAAACCAAAAAGGACAUGAGGACUUUUGUGUCCCUGUGCUCCGUGCUCUCUCUCAGCGGUGUCACCCACACAUUCACUUACUUGUCCCUUUCUGUUACACAUAUCAAACACCAAGAUUGCAAUUACAGUAAGAAUGGACUUUUCUGACUAAUUGUGAUUAACACACACAGUUAGAGCAUUAGCUCAGGAGCUGAACCUUGAGGCCUUCUUGCAAUUACUUAUCUAUUUGCUCUGUCAGGUCCUGAUUAGUU